UCCUACGGGGGGCAGCAGUAGGGAAUUUUCGUCAAUGGGCGCAAGCCUGAGCGAGCAAUGCCGCGUGAACGAGGAAGGUCUUCGGAUCGUAAAGUUCUGUUGAAGGGGAAAAAGAGCGGAGAGAGGAAAUGGUCUCCGAUUGAUAUUACCCUUCGAGGAAGUCACGGCUAACUACGUGCCAGCAGCCGCGGUAAUACGUAGGUGGCGAGCGUUAUCCGGAAUGAUUGGGCGUAAAGGGUGCGUAGGCGGCCUGCUAAGUCUGGAGUGAAAGGUACCGGCUCAACCGGUACAGGCUCUGGAAACUG
rnacentral:rRNA from 1 species